rnacentral:lncRNA from 1 species
GCUUCCCUGCUGCCAUGAGGUGCUUGUUCCUCACCACAGGCACAAAACAAUGUGGCCGGGCAACCAUGGACUGAAACCUCUGAAACUUGCAAGGUCCUGAGUUCGAUCCCUGCUACCAAACAAAAAAAAGUUGUGCACAAUUACAGAAGAUAAUGUGCUUUCCCAAUGAACCAAGGAAAGCACGAUGCCUGUUUGCCAUCCACCCUACCUUGGAGCCAGCUAAUUACGGACUGAAACCUCUACAAACUGCAAAGAAACAGAGGCCAGAGAGUUUGCAGUGCUGAACCGGUUGGAGAGAAGGCUGGCCCGGAGCCAGCACCACCGAACAGCUGGCACUUCCUCCAAACUGCUCCUUCUAUUCACCUGGCCUCUACCUAGACCGCCUGGGGUCAUGUGACCUGACCAGAGACUUGCUCUUAGGGUGUGGUGGAGCUGAGAGCCAGAACCAGAUUGGUUUCACUCCAAAGCACACAACGAAGAGAAUUCCGUUAGGGGAACAAUGGUGUCCCAACUAUUUCUGUGAAUAAGGAAGUGUGGCUUAUAAAUCCAGGUGGGGGGGGAUUCCCUCCCUUCACCUGCGAACACCUGUGUUGCAUUUCAGACUCAAUUCAGGCAUCAUUGCACUUUCGGUGGGUUUUUAGGCGUGAAGCUCAUUUAGCAAUGAGCAAGAGGUGGCAGAGUGAAG